rnacentral:ncRNA from 1 species
GGUUAGGGGUCGGCUGUCGGUUUCCGAAAGGAAUUGAAAGGGAAUCCGCCGCCAGCCCGUCUGGCGAACCGGAACUGCCCCCGCAACUGUAGGCGGCGAGGAACACUGCGAACAUGCCACUGUGGUGCAAGCCAUGGGAAGGCCGCAGUUUCCGUUGACCCGCCAGUCAGGAGACCUGCCGACGUCUGAACGCAACA